rnacentral:rRNA from 1 species
UAAAGAAUUUCGGUAUGGGAUGGGGAUGCGUUCCAUUAGUUAGUUGGCGGGGUAACGGCCCACCAAGACAACGAUGGAUAGGGGUUCUGAGAGGAAGGUCCCCCACAUUGGAACUGAGACACGGUCCAAACUCCUACGGGAGGCAGCAGUGAGGAAUAUUGGUCAAUGGACGAGAGUCUGAACCAGCCAAGUAGCGUGAAGGAUGACUGCCCUAUGGGUUGUAAACUUCUUUUAUAUGGGAAUAAAAUGUUCCACGUGUGGGAUUUUGUAUGUACCAUAUGAAUAAGGAUCGGCUAACUCCGUGCCAGCAGCCGCGGUAAUACGGAGGAUCCGAGCGUUAUCCGGAUUUAUUGGGUUUAAAGGGAGCGUAGGUGGAUUGUUAAGUCAGUUGUGAAAGUUUGCGGCUCAACCGUAAAAUUGCAGUUGAAACUGGCAGUCUUGAGUACAGUAGAGGUGGGCGGAAUUCGUGGUGUAGCGGUGAAAUGCUUAGAUAUCACGAAGAACUCCGAUUGCGAAGGCAGCUCACUGGACUGCAACUGACACUGAGGCUCGAAAGUGUGGGUAUCAAACAGGAUUAGAUACCCUGGUAGUCCACACAGUAAACGAUGAAUACUCGCUGUUUGCGAUAUACAGUAAGC